GCGCGUCCCGCGCCUCGUCAGCUGAGAAACAACGCUCGUGCACGGCUUCCGGAUAUGACGACACCGCUAACUAACACUGGAGUUUCGCUCCUAAUAAGGACUGAGGAAUCUAAAGUCUGCAGGGCCUCACCCGCAAAAAUCCAACAAACAACGUGAGACUAAGAGGAUGAGCUAAAAACCAUCUGAGGGCUGACAAUGAGGCGUAACUGAUCCUGAAUCAGCGGCGGCGCAGAGUCAAGUCUCAGCGGAACGCGUUUACGGUUGAUCUCCGGUCAGCAGAUUUUGCACGACCUGUGUAAUUCUUACGGAAGAGCCACCCCUUG